rnacentral:rRNA from 1 species
AAUGAACGUUGGCGGCGUGGAUUAGGCAUGCAAGUCGUGCGCGAACUGUAGCAGUUCAGGGAGAGCGGCGAAAGGGAGAGUAAUACAUAGGUACCUACCCCCGGGCCUGGGAUAGCGGCGGGAAACUGCCGGUAAUACCAGAUAACGUCCCCGGACCAAAGAUGUGACUUCACCUGGGGAGGGGCCUAUGGCCUAUCAGCUUGUUGGCAGGGUAACGGCCUGCCAAGGCAAAGACGGGUAUGGGGCGUGAGAGCGUGCCCCCACUCACUGGGACUGAGACACUGCCCAGACACCUACGGGUGGCUGCAGUCGAGAAUCUUCGGCAAUGGGCGCAAGCCUGACCGAGCGACGCCGCGUGCGGGAUGAAGGCCUUCGGGUUGUAAACCGCUGUCGUAGGGGAGGAAGGGCCUGUGAAGAACAGGACUUGACCGAUCCUAGGAGGAAGGGCCGGCUAAUCUCGUGCCAGCAGCCGCAGUAA